rnacentral:rRNA from 1 species
GGUUAGACGAAGAAUCUAAAUGAAAUAAUUUAUUAUUCAAUUAACAGUAGAUAAGUUAGAGUAAAUUUAUCUUCUUUCUUAGGUGAAAUUUAUAUAAGGGGAAAAAAUAUCUUUAUUUAUUUGAAGGGAUUGUUAAGUGAAGACUCAAAACCAGGAUUAGAUACCCUGUUAUUCUUUAUUAUAUUUAAUAGGGUAGUAAAAGUUAUUCUUCAAACCCAAAGAUUUUGGCGGCAUUCUAACCAAACAGAGGAGCUUGUCUUAUAAUCGAUAAUCCCCGUUUUAUCUUACCUUUAUUUGUUUAGCUUGUAUACCUCCGUUGUCAGAUUACUCUAAAAGGAUGUUUUCUAGAAAAAUUAUUUUUUUACUUCAGGUCAAGGUGCAGUUUAUGUAAAGGGAAUGGUGAGCUACAAUUCUAAUAAGAACACGGAUUUUAAUUUAAAUUUUGAU